UACGUAGGGUGCGAGCGUUGUCCGGAAUUAUUGGGCGUAAAGGGCUCGUAGGCGGUUUGUCGCGUCGGGAGUGAAAACUCAGGGCUUAACCCUGAGCCUGCUUCCGAUACGGGCAGACUAGAGGUAUGCAGGGGAGAACGGAAUUCCUGGUGUAGCGGUGAAAUGCGCAGAUAUCAGGAGGAACAGCCGGUGGCGAAGGCGGUUCUCUGGGACGUUACUGACGCUGAGACGCGAAAGCGUGGGAGCAACAG
rnacentral:rRNA from 1 species